rnacentral:rRNA from 1 species
AGAGCGAACGCUGGCGGCAGGCCUAACACAUGCAAGUCGAGCGCCCGUAGCAAUACGGGAGCGGCAGACGGGAUAGUAACACGUGGGAACGCGCCCUUCGGUUCGGAAUAACUCAGGGAAACUUGAGCUAAUACCGGAUACGCCCUUACGGGGAAAGAUUUAUUGCCGAAGGAACGGCCCGCGUCCGAUUAGCUAGUUGGUGAGGUAAUGGCUCACCAAGGCGACGAUCGGUAGCUGGUCUGAGAGGAUGACCAGCAUCACUGGGACUGAGACACGGCCCAGACUCCUACGGGAGGCAGCAGUGGGGAAUAUUGGACAAUGGGCGCAAGCCUGAUCCAGCCAUGCCGCGUGGAUGAUGAAGGCCUUAGGGUUGUAAAGUCCGUUUUAACGGGGAAGUAUAAUGACGGUACCGUAGAAUAAGCCCCGGCUAACUUCGUGCCAGCAGCCGC